AAAGGAUCUGAUGGGAGAGGAGAGAAGACCACAGGAGAAAGGGAAGGUGGAGGAGAUACUUUGAUCUUUCUGCCUUCUGCCAACUACGUUGCUGCCACAAAGUCAACGUUAAUUUGAGGUGGCUAGAGUCUUGUUGGUGUCUCAUGAUCUACAGCUGCACAUGAAUUACAUUCCUUAUGGGCAUUAAGAUCAUGCUCUCAGAACUCGCUGAGGGGCCUGGCAUUUUGGGAUCUCCAGGAGAGGCUUAGAGGACAGGCGCCUUCAGAGUGCAGCCCCAUGGACGACCCGAUUCCUCGCCGAUGUUGCCAACUGUAGUGUGGCGGGAGAUUGAGACAGCAGGCGCAGCCGUCGGAGUCCCUCGAACUGGAGUGAUUUCUCUCCCUCUCGUGAUGCAGAGCAAUUGGCUCAAUGCUGUUUCAGCUCGGGGCGUUCCAGAGUUUUGAAUCCAAUUCUGUCGCCGUAAGGAAUGCCUGUACGUCCUCCCCGUGAAAUGCAUGGGUUUUCCCCGGGAGUUCCGAUUUCGUCCCACUGUCCAAAGACGUGUGCGGUAGAUCUGCAACCUGAUGAAAUAAAGGGAAUAGCCCUCCCCACUACUAAGUACAUCUACAAGGUGUGCCGCCACAAGAAAGCAACAUCCAUCAUCAAGGACCCCCACCAUUCAGGCCAUACUCUGUCUUGCUGCUGCCAUCAGGAAGGGGCUGUAGGAGCCUUUGGUCCCACACAGUCAUGUUCAGGAACUAUUGCCAUCAGACUCCCGAAUCAGCUUGGAUAACUUCAUUCAUUGAACUGAUGCCACAACCUAUGGACUAACUUUCAAGGAUUCUACAACUCAUUUUCUCAAUAUUAUGUAUGACUUAUCUAUUCAUUGUUAUUAUUAGAUUUGUAUUUGCAUGGUUUGUCUUCUGCACAUUGGUUGUUUGUCUAUCUUUGUUUCUGUAUAGUUUUUCAUUG